UCCUAGCCUUGUGAGCCUCCCAGGGAGGGGCAGAGGCCACACAGGAGGUGCCACUGGGGACAGAAAGAGCACAGUCCCUGUUGCCGGGCCCUGCGGCUCUCAGGAGGCUACCACAUGUCAUGGUUUGGGGCAAGGCUGACGCUGUGGUGCCACCUUUUGCAAGCGACUUAACCUCUCUCUGCCUCCGAUUUUCCCCAGCAACACAGGCCAGGAUAAGGGGGCCUGUUUCCUACUUCACGAGGGUGAAAUGAGAAUUAAGUGAGAAAAUGGAGGGAACACGAGAGGCACAGGGCCUGGCACCUGUGUGUUCUCAGGUGAGCUCGGGGACCAGAGUUCCCCUGGCACGUCAGCUCCAUGAAGAUGGAGACAAUCGGGAGAGGCUGACACACCACACAUUGCCGGCGCUACAGUGUCUGGAGACAGUAAGACCGGUGGUCACCAGGGGAAGAGAAGAUGAACAAGAUCAACCUCACCAAAACACAAAAUACUCAGAGCCCUUGGGUAUACGGGGCACCACGAAGCCCCACUGGGCAUCCAGUGGUGCCCCAGCCCAUCCACACCAGUCCUCCCAGGGUGAAGCACAACUGCGUCCGGUGUCCAGCUGAGAUGUCAGAGGCGAUGUGGGGAGGCUGAGUGGGGAGGCCAACAGGACCAAGACCCCCUGCAACCCGGACACCUCUGGCUACUGGGCAGUGACUCGGCCUUCAUUGAUCCUUCUGGAACACACAGCCUUGUGUGCCUUCCACCCUUCCAGCCUUCCUCCAGCCUCCCCGCCAGCCAGACUCCUGGGCUUCUCCUGCAUCCCCGACCUCCAACACCAAUAUCAUAGAGGCUCCAUAAACAUUCGCCGAAUUAAAUCGUAACCAUCUGAA